rnacentral:piRNA from 1 species
UAAAAUCAUCUCCGUUGCACCGCGCUCA